rnacentral:rRNA from 1 species
GCAGGCUUAAACAUGCAAGUCGAGGGGUAACAGGGAGUGCUUGCACUCCGCUGACGACCGGCGCACGGGUGCGUAACGCGUAUGCAACCUACCUUCUACAGGGGGAUAGCCCAGAGAAAUUUGGAAUAAUACCCCAUACGAUCAUUAAUCGGCAUCGAUUGAUGAAGAAAACUCCGGUGGUAGAAGAUGGGCAUGCGUCCUAUUAGUUAGUUGGUGAGGUAACGGCUCACCAAGACGUCGAUAGGUAGGGGUCCUGAGAGGGAGAUCCCCCACACUGGUACUGAGACACGGACCAGACUCCUACGGGAGGCAGCAGUGAGGAAUAUUGGACAAUGGAGGCAACUCUGAUCCAGCCAUGCCGCGUGCAGGAAGACGGCCCUAUGGGUUGUAAACUGCUUUUAUACAGGAAGAAUUGUACCUACGUGUAGGUAUUUGACGGUACUGUACGAAUAAGGAUCGGCU